rnacentral:lncRNA from 1 species
GGGAGUCUUGCGCUCGUUUGGUGUGUUAGUUAUAACCUCCCUUUUAUAAAAUUCAGUCAUCAACUGUGAUUCAUGAAUUAACUUUCAGUCAUAAUCAGAGCUGUAUGUCACUUUUGUAACUUCUGAAAAUGUUGAUCAACUCAUGUUGUGUUCCUCCUUCCUGACAGCAAAAUCAAAACAUGAGUUUUUUCAUUAAGUUCUCUUAUCAAAGACUCAUUUCUUUUACUUUCUCUGAAUCUGGACACAUUGAUGCAUUUCUGCAUGACAUGACUCUUUUGGAAUGUUCACUGAAUUCAUGAAUCAUUUCACAGAAUACUAUUUUUGGAUGAAGGUCUGGAACAGAUAUUAUGCAAACCCUGCAACUCUACUGGUGCACGCUGCCUUGCAGGGAAUGAAGUUACGCCAUCAAAAUAUUCAGACAAAUAUUGACAACUAGCUGUGCAAACUGAGCGUUUCCUCUGUGAACUCACAGUACCUCUCUCUUCUAGGUACACGUAUGGUUUCCUGCUGAGGAAAACAUCAUAGAAAGAAGACCCCUUAUCCAGUAUGUGUUGUGAUAGGAAUUACACAGGUUUAGUGUUACUGCUCACUUCACCAAAAUAGCAAUUCAUCAAAGUGACUGGAAACAACAGGUUUCACAGCCACUUCAAGUUGGUGGGGAAUGACAGGUUGUAUCUCAGAUGCUUUAAUCUGAAUUUAGUGCAUAUGAGAAAUCUUGAGAUUCUUAUAUGAAGGUCCUGAAAGAGUUCUUCCUGCAGUGAAAUUUGGCUAUUAGAGUAUGCAAAAAGAUAUAAUGAAGAUAAAAAUGUAACAG